rnacentral:rRNA from 1 species
CCAAUAGCGUAUAUUAAAGUUGUUGCAGUUAAAAAGCUCGUAGUUGAAUUUCGGGGUUAGUAGGUUGGUCAUGCCUCUGGUAUGUACUGGUCUCACUGAUUCCUCCUUCCUGAUGAACCGUAAUGCCAUUAAUUUGGUGUUGCGGGGAAUUUGGACUGUUACUUUGAAAAAAUUAGAGUGUUUAAAGCAAGCUAACGCUUGAAUACAUUAGCAUGGAAUAAUGAAAUAGGACGUUCGAUCCUAUUUUGUUGGUUUCUAGGAUUGACGUAAUGAUUAAUAGGGAUAGUUGGGGGCAUUAGUAUUCAAUUGUCAGAGGUGAAAUUCUUGGAUUUAUUGAAGACUAACUAUUGCGAAAGCAUUUGCCAAGGAUGUUUUCAUUAAUCAAGAACGAAAGUUAGGGGAUCGAAGACGAUCAGAUACCGUCGUAGUCUUAACCAUAAACUAUGCCGACUAGGGAUCGGAUGAUGUUAAUUUUUUAAUGACUCAUUCGGCGCCUUACG